rnacentral:lncRNA from 1 species
UCCUUAUGGCAAAGGUCAUUUGCUAAAAUGAAUAUAGUUACUGUGUUUAGGGUAAUACAGUUGUAGGUGGUAAAUUUUUUUUAAUGUUUUAUCUUUUAAUUCGUUAAAUAAGUGAUCAUUGAGCUCUGCUAGAGCACUGUUAUUAUGUUAGAGCCAGAAAUUAAAAGGUUAGCAAAAACAAAGAGAGAAAACCUUCAGGAACUUCAUGGGUUUGUGAGGAGACAAGCUAUCACCACAUAAUGUGAUAAGGGUUUAGUACUGCCCUUUGAACAACUAUUUCCUGGCUACUGGCUGCCAGAAACAU